rnacentral:rRNA from 1 species
UACGUAGGUGGCAAGCGUUGUCCGGAAUUAUUGGGCGUAAAGGGCGCGUAGGCGGUGCCACAAGUCACCUGUGAAAUCUCCGGGCUUAACUCGGAGCCUGCAGGCGAAACUGUGGUGCUGGAGUGUGGGAGAGGUGCGUGGAAUUCCCGGUGUAGUGGUGGAAUGCGUAGAUAUCGGGAGGAACACCAGUGGCGAAGGCGGCUUCCUGGACCUGUUCUGACGCUGAGGAGCGAAAGCGUGGGGAGCGAUCCGG